rnacentral:lncRNA from 1 species
UAAUGUAAUAGAUUCUCAAUGAGAGGAUUUAAUUCCAAUUACAUGAUUCAUUUUGGCAAAAAAACUUCUAGACUAAUAUUAUUCAUAACACUAAUUAAACAUUAUAUUUUAUUUAAUAAUAUAGUUAAACUAAUAUUUUUUUUAUUAAUUUAAGUUAAUAAAUAAAAAUAAAUCUAUGAAUUAUUUAAAAACAAUAUAUAAAAUAGUUAUUGGGUUAAUGGAUGUUAAAAGCUGAUAAAAAUGAUAAUUGUAUCUCCGGCCUAAUCCAUGCUACCACUUUCGCAUCUUCACUUCCUAAAGGUUUUUGUUUUUUGUUUUUUGUUUUAAGUUGCAUUUUCAAUCUAUAGGGAUCUAAUCUCAUAAGUUAUGUAUUUAGUAAUGUUCUUAAGAGAACUAACUAGCUCUUUAUUUCGUAAAUGGUCUUUGUAGGAAUCUAGAAGAAGCCGCCAAGGACAAUACCAGUAUUACGAUUCUGAUGCAUUCCACAAAACAAUCUAAAGUUAGAGACUCUUGUAACUUUGUAGGAAUAUUGUCAUCAUUGACUUGAAACUCAAGUUAGACUAAUAUCACUAUCUUCCUCCGUGUGUUAUCAAUCAUGUGAAACUCAAUUUAGAUGAACAGAAGAUGAAAACAAUCCUGAGGAACAAACAAGAUAAAUAGAAGUCCGAAUUGAUUUGGUUGGUGAACAAAACAAUCCUGAGCCAGAAGGUCGAACCACACUAUCAUACUCCGCUUAGAGAAAGCAUAAAGAACAUAGUGCCUCCACCACACACACGCGAGUAGCCUUUCCUUUCUUCCACCAUGUUUGUGAACGAGUCUCUGGUUUACCAUUCGUUCUUUUCAUCUUCUUUCGGGUCGUAACACACUUGUCUCAUCAUCUUCCACCAUAUAAAUCUUCCGCUCCUGGGUAUGAACCAGAAGAAAGGCGUCGUGGGGAAGAGCAGUUUCAAGGUCGCCAGCCAUCUGGAUCCAGGUCCAGAUCCGUGGAGGUGUAUCUCCAAGAUGAACAAGCCUCUUAUCUCUCACACCAAAGAACUUUGUGCAACUCUCUCUCUGGGCUUUGUUUCUCUAGUUGAAUGAAGGUCUGUGUCCUCAAAAAACUACUUCCA